UACGAAGGGGGCUAGCGUUGUUCGGAUUUACUGGGCGUAAAGCGCACGUAGGCGGAUUGGUCAGUUAGGGGAGAAAUCCUGGAGCUCAACUCCAGAACUGCCUUUAAUACUGCCAGUCUCGAGUCCGGAAGAGGUAAGUGGAACUCCUAGUGUAGAGGUGGAAUUCGUAGAUAUUAGGAAGAACACCAGUGGCGAAGGCGGCUUACUGGUCCGGUACUGACGCUGAGGUGCGAAAGCGUGGGGGGCAAACAGG
rnacentral:rRNA from 1 species